rnacentral:tRNA from 1 species
GGGAAAGUGGCUCAGUAGUAGAGUGCUUGCCUUGUAUGCAUGAGGCCCUGGGUUCAAUUCCCUAGCACCA